rnacentral:lncRNA from 1 species
CCCCGCCGUCCAAACAUAUCGCCGGAAUUACGCCGUCCGCCGUCGACGCGACCACGCGGCACACCAACUGGACCAUCCGCGCCUUGCCGUCCGAACGCCUCGCCUCACCGUGAUCAAAUCCAUCCAUUCACCACAAGGUUGAAAACAAUCCAAAUGUUUUUAUUAACUCCAAAAUUACAGUUUGAAUUAAUUCAUGAAUUUGGUAAUUAUUUGUUGUGUUUUGGAAUAUUAUGAUUUGGAAUUCAUGUAUGCGAACGAUUGAUUUUUAGUAUUCGCGAUGAUUAGUAUAUUAACAUCAUUCAUGUUAUUUGUUUCCAAUUGUUUUAGAAUUUAGGAUUUAAAAGAAGUAUGACAAAAUUGGGUAGACACAUGUGUUUUAGAUAAAUAAUAUCUUAGUUAAUUUUGUUUAUGACGAAUUUGUCUAAAAGUUUAUAUUCAUAAGUUCAUUUAAACUCACUAAAUAGAUAAUAAAAACUCUUCUUAACACAUAAUUAGUAAGUGGUAUAAAAUUUAUAACAAUACAAAUACUAUAGUAUAAACAGUGGUUUAAUGUAUUAUUAGAUGUUUUGUUUAUUAAUGACAUUUUUCUUUUAGAAAGAAAAGAUAAAACUAAAAGGAGAUCACUAUUCAUAGUAUAAAUAAUUAGGUAAUAAUUAGUUUAUUUUUAUGAAUUGGUUAAGUCAUUACGAGGCCACAUAUGUUAGUCAGAUAAAAAUAUAUUUACUAUUCAUGAUAAAUAAAUUCAUAAGUAUAGCACUUAAUUAGUUAGAAUAGUAAAAUGCUCAUUUAUGUCAUAAUAACCAUGAUUAUGUUAUUAAAAGUAUUAUUUAGUAAUCUACAAUUAAUUCUUAGUAUAUUAAUGUUGGAGGAAUUAAAUAAACAAUUUUUAGUUAUACGUAUAAAUUCUAUUUAGAAAAGAAAGAAGAAAACAGAAAGAGUAGAAUUUAUAAUAAUAUUAAAAAUGACUUAAUUAGGCGCUUAUAUUUUUCUAAUAAAGAAAUUGAUAGUAUGUUGAUAAAUGUAGGUUUCUUACUAAAGAAUUAGAUAAUUUGUUUCUAACUUUAAAAUGACUUUUUUUAAAUAGACAUCAUGAUUUUGAUUUAAUAAGGUUCGUUAUAGAUGUUUAAGUACCCAUAAUAAUAUGAUUUACAAUAGAAUUAUGUCAUAUAACUUUUCGAAUAAUGGCUUAAUUAAGUGCCCACACCGUUAUAACUAAAAUGAUAGUUAAUAAUAUACCAAUGAAUAUAGUAUUCAUUUCAAAUGAUUUAGGUCAUAUGUUCCUAAAUUGAAACUAAAUAUAAUCAAUAGAUUAUUUAUAUUUUCUCACAAUUUAAUAAUUAGACUUACGUUUCAAUUUGUCCAUAACUAGUCGUGUAAGCGUGAUUAAUCCGUUCAUCACAUUGAAUCCAUAUUAUUUAUAUAUAUCAUUUAGUGGUCCCUAAAGAUAAAAUAAAGAAAAUUAGUGUUCAUGUCUUUUUAUAAUUAAAUGUUAGUUUACAUAUUUGUUUUGUAUAUAGCUUUCUUAACAAAGAAUAUAGGACAUGUACUUUCUAAUAAAAAUGAAAUAUAGUUGUUUGUUCAUUGUCUUUUACAUAAAAGUUCAUUAAAGCAUAUAUCAUAACUUUCCAUAAAUAGGUAUUUAAUAAUAAUGAUCUUUUCACAUAAAACCUAUUUAGACUUAUAUCUUAAUUUGUCUUAAGUGAAUGAUUAACAAUAUGCUCCAUAAUGUUUCUAAAAUUAAUAACGUCAUUAGUAGCCCAUUAACCUUAGAUAUAUAACAUAUAUCUUUUCUAAAAGGUUUAAUAAUGUUUAAUAUUGUGUUUUAUAAUGCUUCAUAACUAAGUGUUUAAUAAAUGUGUUUUAUAAUCAUUUAGCCCAUAGCCUUGGUUACUCUAUAAUUGUUUCUAAAAGAUUAAAUUGGUUCGCCUAAUGGUUAUAAAUUUAUAAUUAAGAUAUUUUCAAGCUUAAGUCUUGUUUUAUAAAAUAUGAACCAAACCUUUUUCAAAAGAGUGCCUUCUUAUUAUAACCAUUGUUUGCGAUGUUUUUGAAAAAAACGAAUGCUCUUUUCGUUAAGGUUUAUUUUAGCUUUACGUAUGGUGAAUGUUGUAUGUUAUUGAGUGGUGUUUGUUCUUCUUGUUUGUUUGUGUGAUAUUCAGUGGUUGAUCUAGUAGUUGAGAAUCAAGAUCUAUUCCUAUCCGUGGAAGAACCUCAAGUUUUCUAUAAGCAAG